rfam:Danio rerio chromosome 1, GRCz11 reference primary assembly.
GCCGGCAACUAGCUCUCUGAAACUCUCACAUGGUUGCCCACUGAGGCUAAGCAGGGCUGCACCUGGUCAGUAUCUGGAUGGGAGACCACAUGGGAAAGCUAGGUUGCUGCCGGAA